rnacentral:rRNA from 1 species
UGGGGAAUAUUGCACAAUGGGCGCAAGCCUGAUGCAGCAACGCCGCGUGAACGAUGAAGGUCUUCGGAUCGUAAAGUUCUGUUGCAGGGGAAGAUAAUGACGGUACCCUGUGAGGAAGCCCCGGCUAACUACGUGCCAGCAGCCGCGGUAAUACGUAGGGGGCUAGCGUUAUCCGGAUUUACUGGGCGUAAAGGGUGCGUAGGUGGUCUUUCAAGUCGGUGGUUAAAGGCUACGGCUCAACCGUAGUUAGCCUCCGAAACUGGAAGACUUGAGUGCAGGAGAGGAAAGUGGAAUUCCCAGUGUAGCGGUGAAAUGCGUAGAUAUUAAAAAGAAUACCGGUGGCGAAGGCGACUUACUGGGCUCAUUCUGACGCUGAGGAACGAAAGCGUGGGUAGCAAACAGG